CGGCUCCCGGUAACGGCCGCUCACGCAGCCCGGGCUACUGCGCCGUACCGCCGCCUCCUCCCCUCACCGCCCUUGCAUAACGCGGCCCGGGCCGGCCCCGCUCCAACUGCGCUGCAAAACAUCUGUGUUCCCAGACAGAAGAAUAGCAGAGCUACUUAGAUCAGUUCCAUUACCCAAAAAAGCUGUCUCUAAGGUCUGUGGCAUUUGACAGACCCCCCUCAGGUUUGAUCUCACCAGAGAAACGGAACAAGCAAAACCUUCCGAAGUAGAAGCUGAAGUUUUAGAAGCUCACCUAAAGUGAGACAAGAUGGACACCCUUUGAGGCUGCACAGCAACAGGGCUACCUUGGAGCUAGCAGCAGUGAUAGCAGCUGAGGAAAAGCCCUCUUAUCAGCACUGCACAUUGCCUCCACAACAGAUACCGUGGUGGGAUAAGGAGGAUGGAUAGAGCAAGCUGUUACCGUGGUAAGGCCCUCAGGAGUAUGGCAUUCGGUGUGAGGUAUGUCAGGUCUUCCUUGUGCCACAGCAUCUCUCUUUGACAAGUGAGAAUGAUUAAACUGAACAUCCAUAUGAAAAUUUUUAGUUGAUAAGAAAAAAAAAAAAUCAAAUAUUCUCUCUGUCAACUCUGUUAUGUCUCAGGUAUUAACUUUCUUGUUUUCCUUCUUUUCCACUCAUUAAAAUCUGAGAUUUCUCUCAGAUACGAGGAAAAAAAAAAGGGAAAUAAUUCAUAUAUGCUCUUCAAAAUGACCUUCAGUGUGCUCAUUCUCUGUGUUAGACAAAGAUCAUCUACAAUUAUUUUUGCUUACCAUCGAUCAACUUUUUUCUUUCACAGGAAAAAUAAUAUAUGGUCCUCCACCCUAUACUCAGUGAGUUACCUGCUGCCACAGCAAACUGGUCAGUGGACAUACAUAAUGCCUCAGUGUUAACGUCUGAAGGAAAACUUGGUUUUGCUCUGUUCCUUCCUAUAAGACUCUUCAUUAUGAUUUUACCUACUCAAUAGUAAGGUUUUCAUCAUAGGUUUUUUAAAUUUGUUUUUUUCAUCGAAGAACAGCUUUCCCACCUAUCACAAUAUUUUUUUUUAAAUUCAGAUUUUUCUGUCACCAUACAAUUCAGCAUUAGGAGAUAUGCUAGAAUUUAGCAAUAAAUACCAUAAUCUAGUUCACAUUUUCAAACUCGUAGGAUUUUUCUUCUAGGUACAGUCAACUCUUUUCCAAGAUGAUGGGAGAGGCUCUUGGAACACAAAAGGAAUUUGGGCCAGUAGGAAGAAAAAAAAAAAAAUACUGUCUUUGGUACAAUGUUUUCUGGUAUCCCCUAUUUAGCGUUUGGGAUACCAGAAAACACUGUACCAAGGACAGUUAAUAUUAGCCAAGGUCAGCAGGAACGACAAAUUCGGAUUCGCUACUGGUGCAAGACUUGCUUGCAAAACUACAUCACAGACAAACUUUCAUGCAUAGAAAAGCAGAUUUUUUUUUUCCCAUUAAAAAAUCCUAAAAAAAAAAAAAAAAUUGUUUUGAUGAGCUUUUAAUGAUGGUGGUUCCAACAAGGCUUUCUCAGCUCUUCUUCAUGCAGUCCAGUUCUGUUGCGCACUGAGAGAGGAUUUUGUGGCUGUUCAUAGAGCAAGCAAGCUCAUAGGGAAUCAGGAACAAGUGAAAACAAAACAGAAAAACAGUGAUGAUUUUGUUCAAAGCAUAGAUGAGAUGCAAUCAUGUGUUCUUCUACCAUAGACAUAAUAUUGCAAAAGCUCCAUCCACUUUCUUCAAGGAAAAUUGAGACAAUAGUGACAAUGGUUGGAGCUGGUGCCUAAAACUCAAACCCGGAGGUAGAACAGAACCUAAAAAAAAAACAACAAAAUAGAAUACAACCUGUGGCCUCACUGGGAUUCGUUUCAGAAGAAUGUCAGUUUAGACAGCUUGCUUUAAUAUCCAUAAAUGCCACAGAAAUCAGUUGUCUAGUCUGUACUCCUGGGAAAAAGCAGUUAGAUGACAGGUUUUAGAGCUACUAUUCCCAGCUAUGCUUCUUACAUCAUGCAAAAGUAAUCAACUACUACUCUGCUGAGACUUGACACUACAUUCCUCUUAAAUUCUUUUCAAAUUGGAUGUUUAGCUCAGAAAAGAGCAGUGCAUUAGCAUUUACUGGUAUUAAUGCAGCCCUUCAAUCCAUCGAUAGCUAGUGAAGAGUUUACUCUUCCCUGUCUCUCCCUCUCUGGAUGUAGUCAACACGGUGCUUAUCUUCAGCUGCCUGUGCAGUCAUACUCUUAUCUUCAUCGUCUUCAUUCCUUGUGAGAGUUGAAAAUAAAAAUGUAUUUUUUUUACUUGCACUUCCGCUUCACAUGAUGAAUUUCAGUUUUGAGUAUACUACUAAGCAAAGAAGAUAUAGAGCAGUCUGUACUGGUCUUAGCUCAUUUUCCUAAUUUUCCUUAUUAAGCUUCAGUAGGGACAGAGUUGCUUUUCUUCACAGUGCCUGGUAUAAUACUGUUUUGGUUUUAGGAAAAAAACAGUGUUGAUAGCACUGAUGUCUCUAAUUGUUGCUGAGCAGAGCUGUACGGUCAAGGAUGUUUCAGUUUUCUCUGCCUCUCAUGCUGACAUCUUGCAGAAUGAAAGUUUGGAAAACUGGGGGAGUUGAAUUGAGUGACCUGCUGCUGCUCAGGGACCAUCUGCUAAUUUGGUGAGUGGUAAUCACUUGUGCAUCACCUGUUAUAAAUAUAAUUAUUGUAACAAAUAUCAUUUUCUCCUCUUCCUUUUAGUUUUUAUCUCAACCCCUGAGUUUUACUUUUUUUUUUUUUAAUAAUUCUCCUCCCAUCUCACUUGGAAGGGGGAGAGCAUGCAAACAACUGUGUGGUACUUAACUACCACACAGGUUAAACCACAACACUUCUGGAAGAGCUGCUUAAAAGCUGAUCAAAAGUUUCUCCAUCUCACUCUGAUGCAAUACUAAGCAGAAUUACCAAACUCAGCAUCAUUUUCCUCCUCAGGAUUCUACCCCUCUUACAUGGAAAUACUUAACCGAUUGCAACUUACUCCCCUACAGCUCAUUAAAACACCCUCUCAGAUCAGCAAUGACUGGCUUCAGAGACCUAUCUAAGAUUUCGUGAGGACAGACCUUGCUAAUCACACAGGAUUUAUUAGUUGAGCAUUACUUUUUUGCAGAUGUGCUGGUAAGAAUAACUUUACUCACCUGACCAGACCUAUGAAUUGUCCACUCAGGUGUGAAGGGGAAAAAGAAAACCAGUCUAUUUGGAUGCAGAACCACAUUCAAGCAGUUCCUUCCUUCUCACUGUUCCUUUUUUGAGUAUGUCCAUAACUGCUCCUAAUAUAUUUCAGCUUUGCUCUUGCUGCAGUUCCUACUGAGAGAGCAGCAGGACUCUGCCUUCUAUUUCUGACCUCACAAUGCAUAUGAAGAGGCCAUCUGAGACAACUGUGAGAAACCUGUGACAAACUUUCAACAGUUAUUUCCUUAGUUCAUCCAGUACAUCUGGCUUCUAAAGCAGCGAUUUCAAAAUACAGGGAAAUCCUACUGGAGAAAAAAAAAAAAAAACAAUGUUCUUACUUUUCAAGAGACCAGUGUGGAAUUUUCCAGAUGAUUACAGAAGAUUUUCUGGUUGUUCAAACUCCCCUACUUUCUCAGUUAAGUGACUCUCCUUAAAAUCAACAAUUGCCUACUAUGAACGAUGCAGAGUUUGACCACCAGAAGUUCUCCUGGAUGAGCUAUGUACCUAGAGACUUUUCUCUUAGUUGCCUGCAAAAGCAAGUCAACUUCUGUUAACUUUUGCAACAGAGCUCUCACUGAAAUUACCUCUGACUGUGAGGCUUUAAAUAUUGAGAUGGAACAAUGAUAAUUCCCUGCUUUAAAAUGGCACACAUCAGUCAUCAAAGCUUGACAGCUGCCGAGUAAGAAAUACUGCAGAAUUAAUUCAAUUUUCAUUUUGUAAAGUCGUUAUCAAGAAGGAUCUCAUCUACCAACUAAGGUAUACUUGGUUUUAGAUUCUAUCAACUAUCCUGUUAAUUUUUUUUUCCUGAUAUUAAUAUUUGGACUUCAUAAAUCUGAGCUGUUUUUAAAAUUACUGAAAGUUCUACCAAAGCAAGAAAGUUUAAUCUUAAAGGGCUUUAGAGCAAAUAUUUCCAAGAAUAACACAAUCACCUAGCAAUUAAAAUCAAAGCCAAGACCUUCCUUAUUCUACACAUAGUCAACUUUAAAUCAUUUACUCAUUUUUUUCUUUAAAAAUAAAUUCUACAUUAAUUGUUUUUAUGAUACAGUAAGUCUUAACUGCAUUAUUAUAGUUAGAGUUGUAAACUGGUAUAAACGUCAUACAUAGAAUCAGCUACAAUCUUGUGAAUAGUAACUUAAGGCUGUCAUAAAUAUGAAUGCUGUUAUGAAAUUGAGAAUGAAAACUAUCAAAACUGCUAUGUAUUUGAAAUUAAACUGGCUGUCAAUUGCACAUAAUCUUUCAUUAUUAAACCUUACCCUAUCUUAUCAGUGUAGCCACUAUUAGCAUUUGAAAAGCACAGCUGAAUACAUACUGAUCACCAGAAAGCUAGCUACCAAAAAUUUUGUACAUACUGCAGCAACUUUAUCGUCCCGACUUCACUUGGAAGUUUAUUGAACGUUUAACAAGGAGAUACUUAGU